CUCACACUAAUAGGUCAUUUUGAUUUGCUUCAAAAGAGAAUAGUAACAUAGUGUGUGAAGUGCUUUAUUAAAUGGCAUCUAUAAGUCAUCUAUUUUAACAGAAACAGUGGCUUUAGGGUUCGGGUUGCGGCAGACAGGCAGUUAUUUGAAAUGGAAUGAAGCCCACCCACGGCAUUUGCGGCAUGACAGUGUUGGAACACGCCCCACACUCCGGUCCGGUUGGUGACAGUAAUGUGCGAAUGCGCAUGUGUAUGACUGCGCGGUGCUUUCUGGUCUUCCUGCGCGGCUUUCUGUGGCGUUAACGUUGCAUUUGACUGUUUCAAAUGAACCAAACAAAUGUCAUUAACAAAAAAUAUAUCCAGAGAGUUUAAGACGGUAAAACAGCAGCAUUCCAGUAGGAAACAUCGCUGGAGGAAGAGUAUUUUUCAGAACGAGGACGUUUUUUGCGACGUGAAGUAGGAGUGGGGCGCCAUUGAAGGAUUCAAUGGCGGCACUGAACACGUUUCACACUCAAGAAGACCCAGCCAGCCACCUGUUCACCUGAGGGAGAAAGCCCUGUCUUCAGCCUGUCUUCAGCUUGUCAAAUAACCAUUCCAUGUGGCAGCAGCAUGUUGGUGGACAAGUUCCAGACGCCAUGGGAAAAAAUGAGGCCCUCUCUUGUAAGAGACAUUGUUGCUGGAUGUUGGACACGUACCAGGAGGAAGUGGCUCUUCGGGCAGUGGUCAAUGAGAAGCAAGUGCCUUCAGGAAUCACCUUUUUCAAACUCCCCACACGUCAUUAUACUCAACCAUUAGGUUUUUAUGUGUUACAGACCUUGGAUAGAUAUACUGAGGAUUUUGUUUGCCGUUAAUUUUGCUUUCUAAUUUAGCUACCUUAAAAAGCUUA